GUGGGGGAUAGCCGCUUGAAAAAGCGAUUAAUACCCCAUAGGAAGCUUUAUCCAUGAUUUAGCUUUUAAAGACUUCGGGCGCUGAGGGAUUGGGAUAUGCUCUAUUAGCUAGUUGGCGGGAUAAAAGCCCACCAAGGCAAUGAUAGAUAGCUGGUCUUAGAGGAUGAACAGCCACAAUGGGAUUGAGAUACGGCCCAUAUUCCUACGGGAAGCAGCAGUAGGGAAUCUUCCACAAUGGACGAAAGUCUGAUGGAGCAAUACCAUGUGAACGAUGAAGGCCUUUUUGGUUGUAAAGUUCUUUUACGAGGGAUAAUUAUGAUAGUACUUCGUGAAUAAGUGACAGCAAACUAUGUGCCAGCAGCUGCGGUAAUACAUAGGUCGCGAGCAUUAUUCGGAUUUAUUGGGCGUAAAGCAAGCGCAGGCGGAUGUGUAAGUUCUGUGUUAAAUGCAGCUACUCAAUAGUUGUAUGCACCGAAUACUACAUGUCUAGAUUGUGGUAGGGAGUUUCGGAAUUAAGCAUGGAGCGGUGGAAUGUGUAGAUAUGCUUAAGAACACCAGAGGCGAAGGCGGAAACUUAGGCCAUAAAUGACGCUUAGGCUUGAAAGUGUGGGGAGCAAAUGGGAUUAGAUACCCCAGUAGUCCACACCGUAAACGAUGGGUAUUAGAUAUUAGGGCUUUAGCUUUAGUGUUGUAGCUUACGCGUUAAAUACCCCGCCUGGGUAGUACAUAUGCAAAUAUGAAACUCAAAGGAAUUGACGGGGACCUGAACAAGUGGUGGAGCAUGUUGCUUAAUUCGAUAAUACACGAAAAACCUUACCAAGGUUUGACAUCCCUCGCAAAGCUAUAGAAAUAUAGUAGAGGUUAUCGAGGUGACAGGUGGUGCAUGGCUGUCGUCAGCUCGUGUCUUGAGAUGUUUGGUUAAGUCCCGCAACGAGCGCAACCCCACUCUUUAGUUACUUGUCUAAAGAGACUGCACAGUAAUGUAGAGGAAGGAUGGGAUCACGUCAAGUCAUCAUGCCCCUUAUGCCUUGGGCUGCAAACGUGCUACAAUGGCGAACACAAUGUGUUGCAAACCAGCGAUGGUAAGCUAAUCACCAAAUUUCGUCUCAGUUCGGAUAGGAGGCUGCAAUUCGCCUCCUUGAAGUUGGAAUCACUAGUAAUCCCGUGUCAGCUAUAUCGGGG
rnacentral:rRNA from 1 species